AGAGUUUGAUCAUGGCUCAGAUUGAACGCUGGCGGCAGGCUUAACACAUGCAAGUCGAGCGGGGGAAAGUACUUCGGUACUAACCUUAGGGGCGGACGGGUGAGUAAUACUUAGGAAUCUGCCUAUUAGUGGGGGACAACAUCUCGAAAGGGAUGCUAAUACCGCAAACGUCCUACGGGAGAAAGCAGGGGAUCUUUAUGACCUUGCGCUAAUAGAUGAGCCUAAGUCGGAUUAGCUAGUUGGUCGGGUAAAGGCCUACCAAGGCGACGAUCUGUAGCGGGUCUGAGAGGAUGAUCCGCCACACUGGGACUGAGACUCGGCCCAGACUCCUACGGGAGGCAGCAGUGGGGAAUAUUGGACAAUGGGGGGAACCCUGAUCCAGCCAUGCCGCGUGUGUGAAGAAGGCCUUAUGGUUGUAAAGCACUUUAAGCGAGGAGGAGGCUUACCUGGUUAAUACCCAGGAUAAGUGGACGUUACUCGCAGAAUAAGCACCGGCUAACUCUGUGCCAGCAGCCGCGGUAAUACAGAGGGUGCAAGCGUUAAUCGGAUUUACUGGGCGUAAAGCGCGCGUAGGCGGCCAAUUAAGUCAAAUGUGAAAUCCCCGAGCUUAACUUGCCAAUUGCAUUCGAUACUGUAUGGCUAGAGUGUGGGAGAGCAUGGUAGAAUUCCAGGUGUAGCGGUGAAAUGCGUAGAGAUCUGGAGGAAUACCGAUGGCGAAGGCAGCCAUCUGGCCAAACACUGACGCUGAGGUGCGAAAGCAUGGCCAGCAAACAGGAUUAGAUACCCUGGUAGUCCAUGCCGUAAACGAUGUCUACUAGCCGUUGGGGCCUUUGAGGCUUUAGUGGCGCAGCUAACGCGAUAAGUAGACCGCCUGGGGAGUACGGUCGCAAGACUAAAACUCAAAUGAAUUGACGGGGGCCCGCACAAGCGGUGGAGCAUGUGGUUUAAUUCGAUGCAACGCGAAGAACCUUACCUGGCCUUGACAUAGUAGAAACUUUCCAGAGAUCCAUUGGUGCCUUCGGGAAUCUACAUACAGGUGCUGCAUGGCUG
rnacentral:rRNA from 1 species